rnacentral:rRNA from 1 species
AUUGAACGCUGGCGGCAGGCCUAACACAUGCAAGUCGAGCGGAUGAAGGGAGCUUGCUCCUGGAUUCAGCGGCGGACGGGUGAGUAAUGCCUAGGAAUCUGCCUGGUGGUGGGGGUUAACGUCCGCAAAAGGGCGCUAAUACCGCAUACGUCGUGAGGGAGAAAGAGGGGGUUCUUCGGACCUCACGCUAUCACAUGAGCCUAGGUCGGAUUAGCUAGUUGGUGGGGUAAAGGCCUACCACGGCGACGAUCCGUAACUGGUCUGAGAGGAUGAUCAGUCACACUGGAACUGAGACACGGUCCAGACUCCUACGGGAGGCAGCAGUGGGGAAUAUUGGACAAUGGGCGAAAGCCUGAUCCAGCCAUGCCGCGUGUGUGAAGAAGGUCUUCGGAUUGUAAAGCACUUUAAGUUGGGAGGAAGGGCAGUAAGUUAAUACCUUGCUGUUUUGACGUUACCAACAGAAUAAGCACCGGCUAACUUCGUG